AGUUCCAUGCAGACCUCGAGAUCCCCCACCCCUCACCCCAGUCCGCCUAAGUCCUUCCCUCUCCCAUGUCUCCCCAGGGCAAGGGCGCCGAGGACACUUUCUGGCUAGUGGGCAGACGCGGCUUCAACAAGCCCAUCCCCAAACCGCCUGACCUGCAACCGGGGUCCAGCAACCACGGCAUCAGCCUGCAGGAGAUCCCACCCGAGCGGCGACGGAAGCUGGAGAAGGCGCGACCGGGCCAGUUCUCUUGAGAAGUGAGGCCCGGCCCCGGACAGGUGCUGCCCCCUCAGCCCCCACCCCAGCUGCCGCGUCCCCUCUGCUGCCUGCAGAACGUCCUACCCAAGCCAGGUGUCCCGAUCCCUUUCUGACUUAGAGAGCCCAGGCUGGUUCCUAACCCCCGGGGCUUCCCCUGGGAGGGAAGCACCCGCUGCAGGAAUUUUGGCUCAGUAGAUCUGGAGUGGUUUGGGAAUCCAGGCUUAGGAAACUCCGCAAUCAAAGAAGGCCCCCUCCUCUGGCCCUAUCUCAUCCCCAGCGCA
rnacentral:sRNA from 1 species